AUUGAACGCUGGCGGCAUGCCUUACACAUGCAAGUCGAACGCGAAAGGGGGCAACCCUGAGUAGAGUGGCGCACGGGUGAGCAAUACAUCGGAACAUACCCAGUAGUGGGGGACAACCAGUCGAAAAACUGGCUAAUACCGCAUACGACCUACGGGUGAAAGCGGGGGACCGUAAGGCCUCGCGCUAUUGGAUUGGCCGAUGUCUGAUUAGGUAGGUGGUGAGGUAACGGCUCACCAAGGCCACGAUCAGUAGCUGGUCUGAGAGGAUGAUCAACAACACUGGGACUGAGACGCGGCCCCGACGCCUACGGGAGGCAGCAGAGGGGAAUUUUGGACAAUGGGCGCAACCCUGAUCCAGCAAUGCCGCGUGAGUGAAGAAGGCCUUCGUGUUGUAAAGCUCUUUCGGCCGGGACGAAAUCGCUCUGGUGAAUAUCCAGGGUGGAUGACGGUACCGGAAUAAGAAGCACCGGCUAACUACAUGCCAGCCGCCGCUGUAA
rnacentral:rRNA from 1 species